rnacentral:rRNA from 1 species
AACGAACGCUGGCGGCAUGCCUAACACAUGCAAGUCGAACGAGACCUUCGGGUCUGGUGGCGCACGGGUGCGUAACGCGUGGGAACCUGCCCUUAGGUUCGGAAUAACUCCCCGAAAGGGGUGCUAAUACCUGAUAAUGUCUUCGGACCAAAGAUUUAUCGCCUUUGGAUGUGCCCGCGUUGGAUUAGCUAGUUGGUAGGGUAAAAGCCUACCAAGGCGACGAUCCAUAGCUGGUCUGAGAGGAUGAUCAGCCACACUGGGACUGAGACACGGCCCAGACUCCUACGGGAGGCAGCAGUGGGGAAUAUUGGACAAUGGGCGAAAGCCUGAUCCAGCAAUGCCGCGUGAGUGAUGAAGGCCUUAGGGUUGUAAAGCUCUUUUAACCGGGAUGAUAAUGACAGUACCGGGAGAAUAAGCUCCGGCUAACUACGUG